UAAACGACUCUCGGCAACGGAUAUCUUGGCUCUCGCAUCGAUGAAGAACGUAGCGAAAUGCGAUACUUGGUGUGAAUUGCAGAAUCCCGUGAACCAUCGAGUCUUUGAACACAAGUUGCGCCCGAAGCCGUCAGGCCGAGGGCACGUCUGCCUGGGCGUCACAC
rnacentral:rRNA from 1 species